rnacentral:RNase_P_RNA from 1 species
UUUCAUUGUAUGAAAAUUAAGUGACAGGUAAGGGUGAAAAGGUGCGGUAAGAGCGCACCAGUUCUCCGGGUGACCGGGGAAGCUUGGCAAACCCCACCUGGUGCAAGACCAAAUAGAGAAGCGUUUGAGGAUAGCCCGUCCGAGCUUCCGGGUAGGUCGCAAGAGGUGCCGGGCAACUGGCACCCAUAGAUGAAUGAUCGUUGCCCUGUUGGGGGUAACCCUUGCAGGGAACAGAAUUCGGCUUAUGGACUAUUCCGACCG